GGGAGUAAAAGUCGUAACAAGGUCUCCGUUGGUGAACCAGCGGAGGGAUCAUUACUGGAAUCGCAAGAUCCCACAACCCUGUGAACCUACCGAAACGUUGCCUCGGCGGGUGCCCGGCCUCUGCGCCGGGCGCUGCGCCCGCCGGCGGCCCCCUACUCUGUCUCUGCAGCGUGGCAUCUCAGAGUCCCAGAAAACAAGUCAAAACUUUCAACAACGGAUCUCUUGGCUCUA
rnacentral:misc_RNA from 1 species